AUAUGAAAGAAAAAAAAAAUUAUCACUUACCUUGAAAAAAUUAGUGGGGAUAAUUUUAGAGUAUAAAAACCCUGUGGCAAAAGCUUACCCUCAAAAUACCUCUCCAGUUUGCUGAAAGUCACUUCGAGUUUAGUCAGUCUACAGUUGGUAGUUUAAUGAACGAAACCAUGAAGCUCACACUUUUAUUAGUUCUUUUGGUAGCCAUUUUUGCUAUGGUCUCAUCAAGACAGUGCAUGGAUGUGUCCAGACCGUGUAAUGACUCAGACAUGAAAUGCUGCCGUGACUUAGUAUGUACUGAUGAUCAAUGCACUUAUAAAACAAGUGGUUAACCACCAGUUUUUUGGGUGAAGAUACGCCUCGGUCUGAUGGCAGCCUUCACUCAAAAUAAACUUCGAACAUACAGUUAUUGUUCUGAACCCCAAAUAAAAAAUGAAUCGAAAAAUUUUACAGAUAGAUAUUAAUAAAAAUUACUGAUGGAAUUGUCAUCAUUUAAUUAUGCCGCUAUAAUAUAUAAAUAAAAUUUUUUUUUCGUCUUGAUUCAAUUGUAUGUUUUGUUUAAGUAAAAUAUGUUCUGUAUUUGUUUUGUAAUCUAUAAUUAAUGUAAUAAAUUACAUAUCAAUCUGUA